rnacentral:rRNA from 1 species
GAUGAACGCUGGCGGCGUGCCUAAUACAUGCAAGUCGAGCGAACAGACGAGGAGCUUGCUCCUCUGACGUUAGCGGCGGACGGGUGAGUAACACGUGGAUAACCUACCUAUAAGACUGGGAUAACUUCGGGAAACCGGAGCUAAUACCGGAUAAUAUAUUGAACCGCAUGGUUCAAUAGUGAAAGACGGUUUUGCUGUCACUUAUAGAUGGAUCCGCGCCGCAUUAGCUAGUUGGUAAGGUAACGGCUUACCAAGGCAACGAUGCGUAGCCGACCUGAGAGGGUGAAUGGCCACACUGGGAACGGAGAACGGUCCCGGCCCCCACGGGGAGGCACCAUUGGGGAACCUCCGGAAAGGGGGGAAAGCAUGAGGGGCAAACGCGGGGUGAGUGUGGAGGUUUUCGGAAUCUUAAACCUUUUUAUUUGGGAAAAAAAAAAUGUGAAAGUAACUAGGCAGUUUUUGAGGGUCCUAAUCAAAAAAGCACGGGCAACUUCGGU